rnacentral:rRNA from 1 species
GUAGGCGGAUUGAUAAGUUUGAAGUGAAAUCCUAUAGCUUAACUAUAGAACUGCUUUGAAAACUGUUAAUCUAGAAUGUGGGAGAGGUAGAUGGAAUUUCUGGUGUAGGGGUAAAAUCCGUAGAGAUCAGAAGGAAUACCGAUUGCGAAGGCGAUCUACUGGAACAAUAUUGACGCUGAGACGCGAAAGCGUGGGGAGCAAACAGGAUUAGAUACCCUGGUAGUCCACGCCCUAAACGAUGUACACUAGUUGUUGUGAGGCUCGACCUUGCAGUAAUGCAGUUAACACAUUAAGUGUACCGCCUGGGGAGUACGGUCGCAAGAUUAAAACUCAAAGGAAUAGACGGGGACCCGCACAAGCGGUGGAGCAUGUGGUUUAAUUCGACGAUACACGAAGAACCUUACCUGGACUUGACAUAGUAAGAAUGAUUUAGAGAUAGAUUAGUGUCUGCUUGCAGAAACUUGCAUACAGGUGCUGCACGGCUGUCGUCAGCUCGUGUCGUGAGAUGUUGGGUUAAGUCCCGCAACGAGCGCAACCCUCGUCCUUAGUUGCUAACAGUUCGGCUGAGAACUCUAAGGAGACUGCCUACGCAAGUAGGAGGAAGGUGAGGAUGACGUCAAGUCAUCAUGGCCCUUACGUCCAGGGCUACACACGUGCUACAAUGGGGUAUACAAAGAGCAGCAAUACGGUGACGUGGAGCAAAUCUCAAAAAUGCCUCCCAGUUCGGAUUGUAGUCUGCAACUCGACUACAUGAAGUUGGAAUCGCUAGUAAUCGUAGAUCAGCUAUGCUACGGUGAAUACGUUCCCGGGUCUUGUACUCACCGCCCGUCACACCAUGGGAGUUGAACUCAUUCGAAGCGGGGAUGCUAAAGUAGCUACCUUCCACAGUGGAUUCAGCGACUGGGGUGAAGUCGUAACAAGGUAACCGUAGGAGAACCUGCGGUUGGAUCACCUCCUUU